AGUGAACGCUGGCGGUAGGCCUAACACAUGCAAGUCGAACGGCAGCACAGUAAGAGCUUGCUCUUACGGGUGGCGAGUGGCGGACGGGUGAGGAAUACAUCGGAAUCUACUUUUUCGUGGGGGAUAACGUAGGGAAACUUACGCUAAUACCGCAUACGACCUACGGGUGAAAGCAGGGGAUCUUCGGACCUUGCGCGAUUGAAUGAGCCGAUGUCGGAUUAGCUAGUUGGCGGGGUAAGGGCCCACCAAGGCGACGAUCCGUAGCUGGUCUGAGAGGAUGAUCAGCCACACUGGAACUGAGACACGGUCCAGACUCCUACGGGAGGCAGCAGUGGGGAAUAUUGGACAAUGGGCGCAAGCCUGAUCCAGCCAUACCGCGUGGGUGAAGAAGGCCUUCGGGUUGUAAAGCCCUUUUGUUGGGAAAGAAAAGCAGCAGGUUAAUACCCCGCUGUCCUGACGGUACCCAAAGAAUAAGCACCGGAUAACUUCGUG
rnacentral:rRNA from 1 species